rnacentral:rRNA from 1 species
CGGAUUGUAGUCUGCAACCCGACUACAUGAAGCCGGAAUCGCUAGUAAUCGCAGAUCAGCAUGCUGCGGUGAAUACGUUCCCGGGUCUUGUACACACCGCCCGUCACACCAUGGGAGUCGGAAAUGCCCGAAGUCGGUGACCCAACCGGAAGGAGGGAGCCGCCGAAGGCAGGUCUGAUAACUGGGGUGAAGUCGUAACAAGGUAAC